rnacentral:rRNA from 1 species
GACGAACGCUGGCGGCGUGCCUAAUACAUGCAAGUCGAACGCACUCUCGUUUAGAUUGAAGGAGCUUGCUCCUGAUUGAUAAACAUUUGAGUGAGUGGCGGACGGGUGAGUAACACGUGGGUAACCUGCCCUAAAGUGGGGGAUAACAUUUGGAAACAGAUGCUAAUACCGCAUAAAACCUAAACACCGCAUGGUGUAGGGUUGAAAGAUGGUUUCGGCUAUCACUUUAGGAUGGACCCGCGGUGCAUUAGUUAGUUGGUGAGGUAAAGGCUCACCAAGACCGUGAUGCAUAGCCGACCUGAGAGGGUAAUCGGCCACACUGGGACUGAGACACGGCCCAGACUCCUACGGGAGGCAGCAGUAGGGAAUCUUCCACAAUGGACGAAAGUACUGAUGGAGCAAACGCCGCCGUGAGUGAAGAAGGUUUUCGGAUCGUAAAAACUCUGUUGUUGGAGAAGAAUGUAUCUGAUAGUAACUGAUCAGGUAGUGACGGUAUCCAACCAGAAAGCCACGG